AUACGGAGGAUCCGAGCGUUAUCCGGAUUUAUUGGGUUUAAAGGGUGCGCAGGCGGCCCUUUAAGUCAGCGGUUAAAUCGUGGGGCUCAACCCCAUUCUGCCGUUGAUACUGGGUGGCUUGAUUGCGGUCGAGGUUGGCGGAAUUCGUUGUGUAGCGGUGAAAUGCAUAGAUAUGACGAAGAACACCGAUUGCGUAGGCAGCUGACCAGACCGCAAAUGACGCUCAUGCACGAAAGUGCGGGGAUCGAACAGGAUUAGAUACCCUGGUAGUCCGCACAGUAAACGAUGAAUACUUGUUUUCGGCGAUAUAAUGUCGGAGGCAAAGCGAAAGCGAUAAGUAUUCCACCUGGGGAGUACGCCGGCAACGGUGAAACUCAAAUGAAUUGACGGGG
rnacentral:rRNA from 1 species